AGUUCGAUCCUGGCUCAGAUUGAACGCUGGCGGAUGCUCUUCACAUGUCGAACGGCAGCACGGACUUCGGUCUGGUGGCGAGUGGCGAACGGGUGAGUAAUGUAUCGGAACGUGCCUAGUAGCGGGGGUAACUACGCGAAAGCGUAGCUAAUACCGUACACAACGCCCUUCUUCGGGGGAAAGUGGGGACCUUCGGGCCUCGCACUAUUAGAGCGGCCGAUAUCGGAUUAGCUAGUUGGUGGGGGUAACGGCUCACCAGCGACGAUCCGUAGCUGGUUUGAGAGGACGACCAGCCACACUGGGACUGAGACACGGCCCAGACUCUACGUGGAGGCAGCAGUGGGGAAUUUAACAAUGGGGAAACCCUGAUCCAGCCAUCCCGCGUGUGCGAUGAAUACUUUCGGGUUGUGUACACUUUUGGCAGGAAAGAAACGGCACUGAUAACACCUCAAAAAACUGACGGUACCUGCAGAAUAAGCACCGGCUACUGCGCCAGCAGCCGCGGUAAUACGUAGGUGCAAGCGUUAAUCGGAAUUACUGGGCGUAAAGCAGGUUCGGAAGCAGAUGUGAAAUCCCAGAGCUUAACUUUGGAACUGCAUUUUUAACUACCGAGCUAGAGUGUGUCAGAGGGAGGAAUCUCCGCGUGUAGCAGCAAGGGAAAUGCGUAGAUAUGCGGAGGAACACCGAUGGCGAAGGCAGCCUCCUGGGAUAACACUGACGCUCAUGCACGAAAGCGUGGGGAGCAAACAGGAUUAGAUACCCUGGUAGUCCACGCCCUAAACGAUGUCAACUAGCUGUUGGGGCUUCGGGGCCUCGGUAGCAGCUAACGCGUGAAGUUGACCGCCUGGGGAGUACGGUCGCAAGAUUAAACUCAAAGGAAUUGACGGGGACCCGCACAAGCGGUGGAUGAUGUGGAUUAAUUCGAUGCAACGCGAAAACCUUACCUACCUCUCGCUGACAUGUCUGGAAUCCCGAAGAGAUUUGGGAGUGCUCGCAAGAGAACCGGAACACAGGUGCUGCAUGGCUGUCGUCAGUCGUGUCGUGAGAUGUUGGGUUAAGUCCCGCAACGAGCGCAACCCUUGUCAUUAGUUGCUACGAAAGGGCACUCUAGAUGAGACCGCUGGUGACAAACCGCAAGAGAAGGUGGGAUGACGUCAAGUCCUCAUGGCCCUUGCGGGUAGGGCUUCACACGUCAUACAAUGGUCGGGACAGAGGGUCGCCAACCCGCGAGGGGGAGCCAAUCCCAGAAACCCGAUCGUAGUCCGAUCGCAGUCUGCAACUCGGACUGCGUGAAGUCGGAAUCGCUAGUAAUCGUGAUCAGCACGUCGCAGAAUAUGUUCCCGGCCUCGGUACACACCGCCCGUCACACCAUGGGAGUGGGUUUUACCAGAAGUAGCUAGCCUAACCGUAAGGAGGGCGAUUACCACGGUAGGAUUCAUGACUGGGGUGAAGUCGCAACAAGGCAA
rnacentral:rRNA from 1 species